rnacentral:rRNA from 1 species
ACACGUACCGUACGAACGUUAUUCGGAAUCACUGGGCUUAAAGGGUGCGUAGGCGGCUUGGAAAGUUGGGUGUGAAAUCCCUCGGCUCAACCGGGGAAUUGCGCCCAAAACUUCCAGGCUUGAGGGAGGUAGAGGUAAGCGGAACUUAGGGUGGAGCGGUGAAAUGCGUUGAUAUCCUAAGGAACACCAGUGGCGAAGGCGGCUUACUGGACCCCUUCUGACGCUGAGGCACGAAAGCUAGGGUAGCGAACAGGAUUAGAAACCCGGGUAGUCC